UACGGAGGGUGCAAGCGUUAAUCGGAAUUACUGGGCGUAAAGCGCACGUAGGUGGUUUGCUAAGCCAGCUGUGAAAUCCCCGGGCUCAACCUGGGCACUGCAGUUGGAACUGGCAAGCUAGAGUAGGGUAGAGGGGUGUGGAAUUCCAGGUGUAGCGGUGAAAUGCGUAGAUAUCUGGAGGAACAUCAGUGGCGAAGGCGACACCCUGGACUCAUACUGACACUGAGGUGCGAAAGCGUGGGGAGCAAACAGG
rnacentral:rRNA from 1 species